CUCGGGUGGGGGGAGUCCCUCAGCCAGGAUUGCAAGAGGGCACAGGCCAGGCCAAGGGACCUCACUAGUGCACA
rnacentral:pre_miRNA from 1 species